ACACGACAUUUAAAGCAACAAAGAGAACAACAAAGGACUUGUGAAAUUACUGGGGAAGCGAUACGAAUUUAUUUUUGAAAAUAUUACAGGAAGAAUGAAAAUGUCUAUGUAUAUGUAUUCGAGAGUUAAUUUGAUUAUCAACAGCUGAAGACGAAUCGCCUCGGAUAACUCAAGCAUCCAGAAAUGCAAUCACAAGAGUUCGGAAAUUUAGACUGCCAAUUCGCCAACGUUUACUCCUACUCCAACAACAAAUAAAACAUUAAAUGAUUGUCACGAGACUAGAGGAAUAGGCAAUUACAGAAACUUCCAAGUGGAGGAGUCGUGUUCGCUCAAUUGGCCCUAGCUCGGUUAAACGGGAGUGCGCUACUCGGUAAACCUCUAAGCUGUUUACACCACUUCGUCGACUGCACUAGCAUCCUAAUUGGUUUCUACGUGACCUAAUGGUUCCCACAAUUUGACAGGAGCAACCAACAAUGAAAUUGUAAAUUGUGCUGUACAUUUAACGUGACCAUACACCCCGUUUUGAGCGGGACAGUCCCAUUUUUAAGUUCCGUGUCCCGUUGUCCCCAAAAUAUUAUAAAUGUCUCGCUUUUACAAAACAGGAUAUACGUGACAAUAAAUUUUUUAAAAAAAUGGCGCUAUUGCGAAAAACGUAUAAAGCCAGCACACCGGACUACACAACAUUAGAUCUUUCUGAAAAUGAUUGAUCAUAAACAUUUUUUUUUACCGUUAAACAUUUCGUAACUAUCACAAA